UCGGGGGUAGCUCAGCGGUAGAGCAACGGACUGUUAAUCCGUCGGUCGUCGGUUCGAUCCCGACCCCCCGAGCCA
rnacentral:tRNA from 1 species